rnacentral:rRNA from 1 species
GAGGCGUAGCGGCAUCCUAUACAUGCAGUCGAGCGAACAGAUAAGGAGCUUGCUCCUUUGACGUUAGCGGCGGACGGGUUAGUAACACGUGGAUAACCUACCUAUAAGACUGGGAUAACUUCGGGAAACCGGAGCUAAUACCGGAUAACAUAUUGAACCGCAUGGUUCAAUAGUGAAAGGCGGCUUUGCUGUCACUUAUAGAUGGAUCCGCGCCGUAUUAGCUAGUUGGUAAGGUAACGGCUUACCAAGGCAACGAUACGUAGCCGACCUGAGAGGGUGAUCGGCCACACUGGAACUGAGACACGGUCCAGACUCCUACGGGAGGCAGCAGUAGGGAAUCUUCCGCAAUGGGCGAAAGCCUGACGGAGCAACGCCGCGUGAGUGAUGAAGGUCUUCGGAUCGUAAAACUCUGUUAUCAGGGAAGAACAAAUGUGUAAGUAACUGUGCACAUCUUGACGGUACCUGAUCAGAAAGCCACGGCUAACUACGUGCCAGCAGCCGCGGUAAUACGUAGGUGGCAAGCGUUAUCCGGAAUUAUUGGGCGUAAAGCGCGCGUAGGCGGUUUUUUAAGUCUGAUCUGAAAGCCCACGGCUUAACCGUGGAGGGUCAAAUGGAAAAGUAAAACUUGGAAGUGAAGAUGU